CUCGCCGUAAGCGCAAGGUUUCCUACGCAACGUUCAUCGGCGUAGGGUGAGUCGGCCCCUAAGGCGAGGCAGAGAUGCGUAGCUGAUGGGAAACAGGUCAAUAUUCCUGUACCGAUGUGUAGUGCGAUGUGGGGACGGAGAAGGUUAGCUCGGCCGGGUGUUGGAUGUCCCGGUUCAAGCCUGUAGUCGUGCCUGGUAGGCAAAUCCGCCGGGCUUAGAUGAGGGGUGAUAACGAGGAGGCUUGCUUCCGAAGUGAGUGAUACCCUGCUUCCAGGAAAAGCCACUAAGCUUCAGCUACACACGACCGUACCGCAAACCGACACUGGUGCGCGAGAUGAGUAUUCUAAGGCGCUUGAGAGAACUCUGGAGAAGGAACUCGGCAAAUUGACACCGUAACUUCGGAAGAAGGUGUGCCUUUAGUAGGUGAAGUCGUACAGAUGGAGCCCAAUGAGGCCGCAGAGAAUCGGUGGCUGCGACUGUUUACUAAAAACACAGCACUCUGCAAAGACGAAAGUCGACGUAUAGGGUGUGACGCCUGCCCGGUGCUGGAAGAUUAA
rnacentral:rRNA from 1 species